GCUCCCUGUUGCUUUAAGCAGUGCGUCCUGCCGUCCAACAGGAGGCGUGUCUCCCUUACAGUCGGAGCUCAACGUUGCCAGCUGCAACUGGGAUCCGGUUUCUCCGUAGGAACAAGUCAACUUCUUUGUGCUGCUCUGGUGACUUCCCUGCGCCAGCUGUAUCUAAGCAAAUGGAUCUGUUGAAGCCCUGCCCUGCCUGACAUGGAUGCCCCGUCACCACCCCCACCAUCAUCUUCCUCAACUGAGUCCGAGGGCUGGUUCUUGUUGGCGCAGUGAGCCGGACACGCACGGAUCCCUUUUUCUUUUCUUUUUUUUCUCCGCCAAAUGGAUGUGAGAAAGCCGUUGUUCAACCCGGCGUAGAGCAUGCCGUGAUCUUGCUCCAAUCCGAAUAAAUGUUAACGGCGUGACAUAUAUAAAGUCUGGGGAAUUUACCGAUUCGUGGAAUAAAAUCCUGUGCAGAACACAAGCACCAUGAAGAUUACCUCCUUCCUGAUAUUUAAAGCGAGAUUCAGGCACACCAUGAGGCUGCUGCUGCUCUUACACUGUGUGGGCUGCGCUCAUGGGAUGCCACACGUCCUGAGAUUUGUUGGAGUGUGUGCAGGAGGCACUGAUUGAAACGUAGCAACAUCUUUAAUUGGAACGUUGUGCAGUCAGAAAGUUGUCACAUUGGAGAGCUUCUGGAUUCAGACAUGAUUAUAUGGUCAAUCAACAAGCUUUGAAAAGCUGCACAAUUUGUAACUUGCUAAUAAUGUAAGAUGUGUUUGUUGGUUUAAUUAAGUUUAAAUGUGUUUGUGUGUUCUGGUGAUGUAUGGAUUAUGGAUUAUGUAUGUGUGUUAGGGGGAAUUUUAAGUGUAUUGGUGCUUUGAAGUGUGUGCUCCUUGCUCAGCCAUGUUGCAGUAUGUAAGAAGAUUAAUAUUUUUAUUUUUAAUUGUUCAAUUUAGUGUUUUGUCAUGUAGAAAUAUGUUGACACUUUCACAGUGAUAUCCUGCCUCACUGAAAUGAGAGAAUAUUUGGAUAAAAGGGUCAGAGUCUAAGUCUGUAUUAAGGGACAUAAUUUUUUAUUGAAAUAUAUUAGACCAUAUGCAAUACCACUGCUCUAUUUGUUUAGAUAAAAAAAAAGCUGGAAACAUGUUUUUAUUUUAUUUAUUAUGUUUACUCUAACCAUUUUCAUGGUAGAUACGUGUUCGAUAACUUGGUCAACAGAGAUCAGUCACACAGAAAAAAUAAACAGGGAAAAACAACACGCAACAUAUUUAAUACUUAUUUUACUGCAUAACUUUGUUUUAAAUCAAGCACUGUUAUGCAAAUACAGAAUUAUAUUAAAGAAAACUGAAACUGAAAUAUUAAUGUGAUGAGUACCAGCGCAUUUCAACAGGUUUUGACUGUCAUUUGGUCUACAGAUGAAAAUGGAUGUGAGAGAAGUUUGGUUGAUGGAAUCUGGAGAUCUGGUGAACCUCAUUGUGGUCUCUUUGUUUUACUGACAGCUUCUCAAUUUCCAGGAAUUCAGUUCAUGUUAGGGUUAGGCUAACCCUAACCCUAGGCAGCAAUGGACUCUUGAAAAAAUAAAAAUACUAUCAUAAUAUUUCAUUCAUCAGUACCUUUUAACACACAAUCAGCUUUAACACUGGAUUAGUGUUUGUUCUUUUUGAACUACCGAUUGUUUACAUGUUGGUGAAUCUAAGAUACAACUGGCAACACUUUGUUUCUGUUUAAGUUUUGAUCGUGGAAUGCCACAUUUCUUCUGAUAUUGACAUCGAUUGACAAUUCAAGAAAUAACAGGUUCAGUAAGAUAGACAUUGGCAUCUGAAUAUAGAAGACAAGACAGAACCUUUAGAUUUGUGAAUGGAAAUACAGAACCCAAAGCAUUGCAGUUUAAUACAAGUGUAGCUAGCAGACUAAGAUAUUUCAAAAAGAUGAGACAAAAAUGAUCAGUAGCACAGGUAUGCAAGCCUCUGGGAUUAUCAGAUAAUUACACUCAGAUGUUUUCUGACAGGUGUGAUUUGGCAUCUGCUUUAAUUUUAUAGAACAAAGAUUCAUCAGUCUUCAUCUUUCCAGAUUUAAGUAAUUCUGUAUUUCCUACUUGCAAGCUUGAGCAUUGAUUUUGUAUUCUGAAGCGCUGCUAGCAGCAUCUAACCACAUUACUUGAUGACAUCAUCAUGCACUGUUGACAUCCCUCAGGUUAUGUACUUCAGACAAGACAGACACAAGCUGAGAACACGACUGAAUCACAAACAAUUCUGUUCACACAUAAAAAUAGAAUUUAUGUGUGAACAUAAAUUCUCACAUAAAUUCAUCAACAUGGUAAAUGUGGUAUUUAGGGAGAAUUUCUGUCCAUGCAUUAACUUUCAGUUCAGUUAAAUUUACUUUUUUAUUUUCCCACAUGGAAAAUUUGUUGCAUAGCAGCAGUCAAAGAAAGUCAAGACAGAAUCCACACAUCAACAUAAAUACCACACUAAGUGGCAAUGAAUGAAACAUUCCAAUUUUGUACUGAUCUAAUUUAAAACUCUUCUUUAAACACUUGAAAUGAUUGUGCAAUUAUGACAUCAGUUGUGAUAGAUCUGCUUCUUUUUCCCCCGCAUACAUACUACUUUAGCUGAAUCUGCUGGCUGUGUCAAUAUGCCUCAUUAAAUGAUUUAGUAGAUCUGAUAAUCUUCAAGAUAACAUUUAAACAACUACGCCAUAAAACAGGGGUGUCCAAAGUGGGUCCUCGAGGGCCGGCAUCCUGCAUGUUUUAGUUCUCUUCC